GUUUCCAUUUACUUGUACUGUUACUUGCGGACAAGCUUAUGGGCUUUUGCAAGUAAAUAUAAUUUUAUGUAUGCUUUUCUUAAUGUUACAAAUAAAAA